rnacentral:rRNA from 1 species
GAUGAACGCUGGCGGCGUGCCUAAUACAUGCAAGUCGAGCGAACCACUUCGGUGGUGAGCGGCGAACGGGUGAGUAACACGUAGGUGAUCUGCCCAUCAGACGGGGACAACGAUUGGAAACGAUCGCUAAUACCGGAUAGGACGAAAGUUUAAAGGUGCUUCUGGCACCGCUGAUGGAUGAGCCUGCGGCGCAUUAGCUAGUUGGUAGGGUAAAGGCCUACCAAGGCGACGAUGCGUAGCCGACCUGAGAGGGUGAACGGCCACACUGGGACUGAGACACGGCCCAGACUCCUACGGGAGGCAGCAGUAGGGAAUCUUCGGCAAUGGGCGAAAGCCUGACCGAGCAACGCCGCGUGAAUGAUGAAGGCCUCGGUUGU